GAUUGAACGCUGGCGGCAGGCCUAACACAUGCAAGUCGAGCGGUAGCACAGAGAGCUUGCUCUCGGGUGACGAGCGGCGGACGGGUGAGUAAUGUCUGGGAAACUGCCUGAUGGAGGGGGAUAACUACUGGAAACGGUAGCUAAUACCGCAUAAUGUCGCAAGACCAAAGUGGGGGACCUUCGGGCCUCAUGCCAUCAGAUGUGCCCAGAUGGGAUUAGCUAGUAGGUGGGGUAACGGCUCACCUAGGCGACGAUCCCUAGCUGGUCUGAGAGGAUGACCAGCCACACUGGAACUGAGACACGGUCCAGACUCCUACGGGAGGCAGCAGUGGGGAAUAUUGCACAAUGGGCGCAAGCCUGAUGCAGCCAUGCCGCGUGUGUGAAGAAGGCCUUCGGGUUGUAAAGCACUUUCAGCGGGGAGGAAGGCGGUGAGGUUAAUAACCUCAUCGAUUGACGUUACCCGCAGAAGAAGCACCGGCUAACUCCGUGCCAGCAGCCGCGGUAAUACGGAGGGUGCAAGCGUUAAUCGGAAUUACUGGGCGUAAAGCGCACGCAGGCGGUCUGUCAAGUCGGAUGUGAAAUCCCCGGGCUCAACCUGGGAACUGCAUUCGAAACUGGCAGGCUAGAGUCUUGUAGAGGGGGGUAGAAUUCCAGGUGUAGCGGUGAAAUGCGUAGAGAUCUGGAGGAAUACCGGUGGCGAAGGCGGCCCCCUGGACAAAGACUGACGCUCAGGUGCGAAAGCGUGGGGAGCAAACAGGAUUAGAUACCCUGGUAGUCCACGCCGUAAACGAUGUCGAUUUGGAGGUUGUGCCCUUGAGGCGUGGCUUCCGGAGCUAACGCGUUAAAUCGACCGCCUGGGGAGUACGGCCGCAAGGUUAAAACUCAAAUGAAUUGACGGGGGCCCGCACAAGCGGUGGAGCAUGUGGUUUAAUUCGAUGCAACGCGAAGAACCUUACCUGGUCUUGACAUCCACAGAACUUUCCAGAGAUGGAUUGGUGCCUUCGGGAACUGUGAGACAGGUGCUGCAUGGCUGUCGUCAGCUCGUGUUGUGAAAUGUUGGGUUAAGUCCCGCAACGAGCGCAACCCUUAUCCUUUGUUGCCAGCGGUCCGGCCGGGAACUCAAAGGAGACUGCCAGUGAUAAACUGGAGGAAGGUGGGGAUGACGUCAAGUCAUCAUGGCCCUUACGACCAGGGCUACACACGUGCUACAAUGGCAUAUACAAAGAGAAGCGACCUCGCGAGAGCAAGCGGACCUCAUAAAGUAUGUCGUAGUCCGGAUUGGAGUCUGCAACUCGACUCCAUGAAGUCGGAAUCGCUAGUAAUCGUAGAUCAGAAUGCUACGGUGAAUACGUUCCCGGGCCUUGUACACACCGCCCGUCACACCAUGGGAGUGGGUUGCAAAAGAAGUAGGUAGCUUAACCUUCGGGAGGGCGCUUACCACUUUGUGAUUCAUGACUGGGGUGAAGUCGUAACAAGGUAACC
rnacentral:rRNA from 1 species